rnacentral:rRNA from 1 species
AUUGAACGCUGGCGGCAUGCUUUACACAUGCAAGUCGAACGGUAACAGGUUAAGCUGGCGAGUGGCGAACGGGUGAGUAAUGCAUCGGAAUGUGCCCGGUCGUGGGGGAUAACGCAGCGAAAGUUGCGCUAAUACCGCAUACGAUCUGAGGAUGAAAGCGGGGGACCGUAAGGCCUCGCGCGAUCGGAGCGGCCGAUGUCAGAUUAGGUAGUUGGUGGGGUAAAGGCUCACCAAGCCAACGAUCUGUAGCUGGUCUGAGAGGACGACCAGCCACACUGGGACUGAGACACGGCCCAGACUCCUACGGGAGGCAGCAGUGGGGAAUUUUGGACAAUGGGCGAAAGCCUGAUCCAGCAAUGCCGCGUGCAGGAAGAAGGCCUUCGGGUUGUAAACUGCUUUUGUACGGAGCGAAAAGGUCUCCUCUAAUACAGGGGGCUCAUGACGGUACCGUAAGAAUAAGCACCGGCUAACUACGUGCCAGCCGCCGCGGUAA